rnacentral:rRNA from 1 species
GAUGAACGCUGGCGGCGUGCCUAAUACAUGCAAGUCGAGCGAACGGACGAGAAGCUUGCUUCUCUGAUGUUAGCGGCGGACGGGUGAGUAACACGUGGAUAACCUACCUAUAAGACUGGGAUAACUUCGGGAAACCGGAGCUAAUACCGGAUAAUAUUUUGAACCGCAUGGUUCAAAAGUGAAAGACGGUCUUGCUGUCACUUAUAGAUGGAUCCGCGCUGCAUUAGCUAGUUGGUAAGGUAACGGCUUACCAAGGCAACGAUGCAUAGCCGACCUGAGAGGAUGAUCGGCCACACUGGAACUGAGACACGGUCCAGACUCCUACGGGAGGCCGCAGUAGGGAAUCUUCCGCAAUGGGCGAAAGCCUGACGGAGCAACGCCGCGUGAGUGAUGAAGGUCUUCGGAUCGUAAAACUCUGUUAUUAGGGAAGAACAUAUGUGUAAGUAACUGUGCACAUCUUGACGGUACCUAAUCAGAAAGCCACGGCUAACUACGUG